CUAAAAAGCCCAUAAAAGCCCAUGACCCACAACCCAUAAUCCUUCUUCCAUGAUAAUACUUUCAAAUACUUCUUCCAUGAGCCCAUCGCUGAUUUCUCUUCCAGCACACUAAAACGAUCAAUGAUUUCUCUUCCAUUGCCGAUUAGGAUUUCCAAAAACAAUUGCCAAUUCGCAUCCACCCAUAAUUGAUAAUUGGAAAACAAUUAUAGAAAGCGAACAACAAAAAAAAGGAGCAAAAAGAACCUUAGAACUUGAAGAACCGUCAAGUAAAAAAAAGUUGAAAAAAGGGAAGUUCCUUUGUUGCAUCACAAGAAGAAAUGACAUCAGAAUACUUCAAAAAAUUUAUGGAGAAGAAAAGAUUGGAGGAAGGAGAAAAGUUGCUAAAAAAGAUAAACAGAUUGGAGAAAGAAUAUCUUCUUUACAAGAAGAUAUUGAAGGUCUUAAAAGGCAACACAAAAAAGAUUUUGAAGAUCUUAAAAAAGGACAAACGGAGAUUCUCACUUUGUUACAUUCUCUAAUGAAAAUUGUAAAGCAGAAGGUCGCACACAAAUGUCAAAGUGAAGACAAUCUCAAGAGUCAUUUGAAAAGAAUCAUCCUUCAUCUGUGAGUCUAGAAAUGAUAGAUGUUGAUGUUGAUGCUAAUAUUGAUAAAGUA